rnacentral:rRNA from 1 species
AGCGAACGCUGGCGGCGUGCCUAACACAUGCAAGUCGAGCGAGAAAGGGGGCUUCGGCCCCUCAGUACAGCGGCGAACGGGUGCGUAACACGUGGGUGAUCUGUCCUCGAGACGGGGAUAACCCAGCGAAAGUUGGGCUAAUACCGGAUAAGACCACAAGAGGAAACUCUCGGGGGUCAAAGGGUGCUUCCUUUUGGGAGCAUUCGCUGGAGGAGGAGCCCCGCGUCCUAUCAGGCUUGNGGUAGGGUAACGGCCUACCAAGGCAAAGACGGGUAGCUGGUCUGAGAGGACGACCAGUCACACUGGAACUGAGACACGGUCCAGACACCUACGGGUGGCAGCAGUCGAGAAUUUUUCGUCAAUGGGGGCAACCCUGAAGGAGCGACGCCGCGU